AGAGUUUGAUCAUGGCUCAGGACGAACGCUGGCGGCACGCUUAACACAUGCAAGUCGAACGAGAGAAGAGGAGCUUGCUUUUCUGAUCUAGUGGCGGACGGGUGAGUAACACGUGAGCAAUCUGCCUUUCAGAGGGGGAUACCGAUUGGAAACGAUCGUUAAUACCGCAUAACAUAAUUGAACCGCAUGAUUUGAUUAUCAAAGAUUUAUCGCUGAAAGAUGAGCUCGCGUCUGAUUAGCUAGUUGGUAAGGUAACGGCUUACCAAGGCGACGAUCAGUAGCCGGACUGAGAGGUUGAUCGGCCACAUUGGGACUGAGACACGGCCCAGACUCCUACGGGAGGCAGCAGUGGGGAAUAUUGCACAAUGGAGGAAACUCUGAUGCAGCGAUGCCGCGUGAGGGAAGAAGGUUUUAGGAUUGUAAACCUCUGUCUUCAGGGACGAAAAAAGACGGUACCUGAGGAGGAAGCUCCGGCUAACUACGUGCCAGCAGCCGCGGUAAUACGUAGGGAGCGAGCGUUGUCCGGAAUUACUGGGUGUAAAGGGAGCGUAGGCGGGAUCGCAAGUCAGAUGUGAAAACUAUGGGCUUAACCCAUAAACUGCAUUUGAAACUGUGGUUCUUGAGUGAAGUAGAGGUAAGCGGAAUUCCUAGUGUAGCGGUGAAAUGCGUAGAUAUUAGGAGGAACAUCAGUGGCGAAGGCGGCUUACUGGGCUUUAACUGACGCUGAGGCUCGAAAGCGUGGGGAGCAAACAGGAUUAGAUACCCUGGUAGUCCACGCCGUAAACGAUGAUUACUAGGUGUGGGGGGACUGACCCCUUCCGUGCCGCAGCAAACGCAAUAAGUAAUCCACCUGGGGAGUACGACCGCAAGGUUGAAACUCAAAGGAACUGACGGGGGCCCGCACAAGCAGUGGAGUAUGUGGAUUAAUUCGAAGCAACGCGAAGAACCUUACCAGGUCUUGACAUCGUAUGCAUAGCUCAGAGAUGAGUGAAAUCUCUUCGGAGACAUAUAGACAGGUGGUGCAUGGUUGUCGUCAGCUCGUGUCGUGAGAUGUUGGGUUAAGUCCCGCAACGAGCGCAACCCUUACUGUUAGUUGCUACGCAAGAGCACUCUAGCAGGACUGCCGUUGACAAAACGGAGGAAGGUGGGGAUGACGUCAAAUCAUCAUGCCCCUUAUGACCUGGGCCUCACACGUACUACAAUGGCUGUCAACAGAGGGAAGCAAAGCCGCGAGGUGGAGCGAACCCCUAAAAGCAGUCUUAGUUCGGAUUGUAGGCUGCAACCCGCCUACAUGAAGUCGGAAUUGCUAGUAAUCGCAGAUCAGCAUGCUGCGGUGAAUACGUUCCCGGGCCUUGUACACACCGCCCGUCACGCCAUGGGAGUCGGUAACACCCGAAGCCUGUAGUCUAACCGCAAGGAGGACGCAGUCGAAGGUGGGAUUGAUGACUGGGGUGAAGUCGUAACAAGGUA
rnacentral:rRNA from 1 species